rnacentral:rRNA from 1 species
UUGUCCGGGGCGAUUGAGUUCUGGGUGACACAGCGAAAGCGUUAAGCAUUCCACCUGGGGAGUACGCCGGCAACGGUGAAACUCAAAGGAAUUGACGGGGGCCCGCACAAGCGGAGGAACAUGUGGUUUAAUUCGAUGAUACGCGAGGAACCUUACCCGGGCUCAAACGCAGGAGGGAUGUUUUUGAAAGGAGGCAGCCAGCAAUGGUCUCCUGCGAGGUGCUGCAUGGUUGUCGUCAGCUCGUGCCGUGAGGUGUCGGCUUAAGUGCCAUAACGAGCGCAACCCCUACCUACAGUUGCCAUCGCGUGAUGGCGGGCACUCUGUGGGGACUGCCUGCGCAAGCAGUGAGGAAGGCGGGGAUGACGUCAAAUCAGCACGGCCCUUACGUCCGGGGUGACACACGUGUUACAAUGGCAGGUACAGCGGGAAGCCACCCGGCGACGGGGCGCGGAACCCGAAAACCUGUCUCAGUUCGGAUUGGAGUCUGCAACCCGACUCCAUGAAGCUGGAUUCGCUAGUAA